GAUGGUUCGAUUAGUCUUUCGCCCCUAUACCCAGUUCAUACGAUCGAUUUGCACGUCAGAAUCGCUACGGACCUCCAUCAGGGUUUCCCCUGACUUCAUCCUGACCAGGCAUAGUUCACCAUCUUUCGGGUCCCAGCGUGUACGCUCUUGGUGCGCCGCAACUUGCAAUAAGUACGCGACGCCCCGGGAAUGCGAGGUAACAUAAAUAACGUUACCCAUCUUCCCUUUAUAAUACAAUUAUAUAAAUUAUAUAUAUAUUUACUUUCAUUACGCCUUUAGGUUUAUUAUAAAUACCCAAUGACUUGCGCACAUGCUAGAUG
rnacentral:rRNA from 1 species